rnacentral:lncRNA from 1 species
CUCGGCCAAGGUGUCCCCGAGAAUGGAUUUAUGGCACAAGCUUAGUUUUUAUGAGAUUCAUAAGCCUCUUUACAUAUUUUAAAUGAAAUGUAUUCUUAUGUUGUGACCCAGUUUACGAUGAUUUAUUUUAUUGUCUCCAUGUACUCAACUUUAGAUAUUUAUGAUGAUGUCUGUUUACUCAUUGAGAUUUUAUAAUCUCACCACCCUCCUUUCCACCCAUUUCAAGUUCAGUAUAGGCUAUAGAUAGCUGAUCUCAUCGAGGACUACCGUUGGAUCUGCAUUUUCCAAACCGUAGGUUCACAGUCCUCUUUACUUUUGUUUAUUCGAGGGCCCUCUUAUUAUUGUAAAUU